AUUACACUUACAUCGUGCACAAAAUUUUCCUGGCUUUGCUGGCAAUCACCUGGAGGCAGCAUAGCGGAAGCUGCCCCUGAAAGAGGCUGUCUUGU